rnacentral:rRNA from 1 species
GAUGAACGCUGGCGGCGUGCUUAACACAUGCAAGUCGAACGGAAAGGCCCAAGCUUGCUUGGGUACUCGAGUGGCGAACGGGUGAGUAACACGUGGGUGAACUGCCCUGCACUUCGGGAUAAGACUGGGAAACUGGGUCUAAUACCGGGUAGGAUCUCUUCAUGGAUGUUGUGGUGGAAAGAUUUUUCGGUGUGGGGUUAGUUCGCGGGCUAUCGGCUCGUUGGUGGGGUAAUGGUAUACCAAGGCGUUGACGGGUAGCCGGCCUGAGGAGGUGUACGGCGACACUGGGACUGAGGGACGGCCCAGGCACCGACGGGAGGGCGCAGUGGGGAAUCUUGCACAAUGGGCGCAAGCCUGAUGCAGCGGCGCUGCGUGGGGGAUGACGGCCUUCGGGUUGUAAACUCCUUUCGCUAGGGACGAAGCGUUUUGUGACGGUACCUGGAGAAGAAGCACCGGCUAACUACGUG